rnacentral:rRNA from 1 species
GACGAACGCUGGCGGCGUGCUUAACACAUGCAAGUCGAACGGAAAGGCCUCUUUCGGGGGGUACUCGAGUGGCGAACGGGUGAGUAACACGUGAGUAACCUGCCCUCGACUUUGGGAUAACUUCAGGAAACUGGGGCUAAUACCGGAUAGGAGCUCCUGCUGCAUGGUGGGGGUUGGAAAGUUUCGGCGGUUGGGGGUGGACUCGCGGCUUAUCAGCUUGUUGGUGGGGUAGUGGCUUACCAAGGCUUUUACGGGUAGCCGGCCUGAGAGGGUGACCGGCCAUAUUGGGACUGAGAGACGGCCCAGACUCCUACGAGAGGCAGCAGUGGGGAAGAUUGCACAAUGGGUGGAAGCCUGAUGCAGCAGGGCCGUGUGCGGGAGAACGGCCUUCGGGUUGUAGACCGCUUUCGCUCAUGACGAAGCUUUGUGUGACGGUAGUGGGUAAAGAAGCACCGGCUAACUACGUG